rnacentral:lncRNA from 1 species
UCAGUGUUUGUAAAGUAUUUAAUGUGGGAAUUGAUUCAAUUGAAAGAAAUAAGAUAAAUAUGUUUGAUCAUGCAUACAAGCAAACAAAAAAAAUAUAUAUGUUUGAGCAUUAUUAUUAGAUUUUAGUACCCCUGGAUUCUUAGGAACAGUUGAAUCAGGGUGAAUAGUAGAUGCCGACAGAUCGUCUGCCUUUUUUCUUCUCGUAGUUUCCGUGUACUUGGAAAAGCAUGCUGAGGAUGAUAUUUGAAAGAACCCCAAACACCAUUAUAAAUAAGAAAGCAAAGAAAAGAGAGUGAGGCUUGGCAGUAUCUCAUACAGUAAAUUAAGAAGGAAAAAAACAGAAGGAAGAGACUGAGGCUUGGUGGUAUUUUCUACAGUACAUUCACGUAAGAAAAACCACAAUUCACAUUCAAAAUAUUUGAAUUGUUUAUGUUCAGAUUAUGUCGUGGUCAAUUGCUCUCCAAGGAUUAAUUUAGUUUCUCCUGUAUAGCAUAAGAAGAAAAAGCAAAUUGUGUUACAAGUUUCUUCCUUUUGAAGCAGAAAUAGUGAAAAAAAGCAAACAAAAUGAAAUAAUUAACUUUUGUCCCAAUUCUUAUCCACUGAUGAUAGCACAUUGAAAGUAACAAGUCACAAAACCCUGUAGGUUGAGGUACUUUCAACUCUCAAGAUGAGCACACGUUUGUGGUUCAAAAUCAGUUCAUAGUAUUCAUCACUCAUGGUGGAUUUAUGAUCAAGGAACAGUAAUGAGCUAAAAUUUCGUGUUUGGAGAACGAAUAUAAUAUGUCAUAAUUUCAUCACUCGUGGUGGAUUUAUGAUCAAGGAAUAAUGAUAGAGUCAAGAUUUCACGUUUGGAGGUCAAAGAUAAUAUCUAUAAAAUGGUCAUUUUAGAAGUUCAAUGUUUGAUAAAAAUAUAAAACAACUUAAAUCGAAAAAAUUUAUGUAAAAGUUACACAAAUAACUCUAAUUUUAUUCUAAAUACAAAAUAAAGAUAUUUUUAAAUAACUAUUGCAUGUUAAAAUUGAACAUCUUUAAUUGGGCUUGAUGGUUUUUUUUAUAGAGUUAAAAGCAUCUAUUACUAAAUCAAUAUUAAAGUCUCGAAUGAUUUUCUUUUUAAUGAGAAUGAUUAAUGAAUUUCUAAAAAAAUCAUCUGACAUUUUAUUAAAAGUUUCAUUCUUAACGAGUUUCAUAGCAAAAAAAAUACAUGCUAUAAUGUUGUAGUGAAAAUUGAAAGAGUUAAGAUAAAUCAGAUCAAUCUUUUUUUUUUUUUUUUUUGCUAAGCCAAAGAUAGCAGAGCCUCUCAUGGCAAAGAGAUCCCUGGAAAACAAGCCAAGAAAGACAAGGCUAAGAAGCAGCAUAAACAGAAAGUAAGGAAAAACAUAACAAGGGAGAUGGAAUCGAAAUCAAAAACUAAAAAAACAUAGCAGCACAGGGAAGAAACUUACAAGAAGAAAGGAAGGCGACACAUCAUCAUCUUAUAAGCAGAAAUGCAUGAAGCACAAAGAAUUUGGAAGUAGAAAAACUCUCAAGGCAGCAAACUCAGGAAAAAACAACAGGAGCAAAAGCCACAUGAAUUGAAAACAUGGAUGAUCUGUCAACACCAAGUUUAGCAAGAGA